UACAGAGGUCCCAAGCGUUGUUCGGAUUCACUGGGCGUAAAGGGUGCGUAGGUGGUUGGGUAAGUCUGAUGUGAAAUCUCCAGGCUCAACCUGGAGGGGUCAUUCGAUACUGCCGUGACUAGAGGUCGGUAGGGGAGUGUGGAAUUCAUGGUGUAGCAGUGAAAUGCGUAGAGAUCAUGAGGAAGACCAGUGGCGAAGGCGGGUCUCUGGACAGUUCCUGACACUGAGACACGAAGGCCAGGGGAGCAAACGGG
rnacentral:rRNA from 1 species